GUCUGUGUGAUAUUAAAUAUAAAGUCUAGCCUGCCCACUGAUUCUUAAAGGGCUGCGGUAAUUUGACCGUGCAAAGGUAGCAUAAUCAGUAGUCUCUUAAUUGGAGGCUUGUAUGAACGGUUGGAUGAGAGAUAAGCUGUCUUCUUUAUAAUUUAAAACUUGACUUUUAAGUGAAAAGGCUUAAAUUAGAUAGGGGGACGAUAAGACCCUAUAAAACUUUAUACGUUACCCUAUUCAUCUUUGAAGUUUAGAUAAAUUAUAGUGAAUGGGGGGGUGUAUUUCGUUGGGGAGACGUUGAUAUAAUCUGUAACUGUCUAAUUGAAAAAUAUAAAUAUAAUUAGUACAUGAUCCUUCUUUGUGGAUAAAAAGAUUAAGUUACUUUAGGGAUAACAGCGUAAUUCUUUUUGAGAGUUCUUAUCGAAGAAAGUAGUUGCGACCUCGAUGUUGAAUUAAAAUUUCUGUUAGGUGUAGCCGCUUAAUUAGUAGGUCUGUUCGACCUUUAAAAUUUUACAUGAUUUGAGUUCAAACCGGU
rnacentral:rRNA from 1 species